AUUCUAAAUCGUACAUUAAUUUAUGUGAAAGAUCGCAUAUCGAGCAAUUAUAAACAUAAAAACUUAGUUCAGAAAAAUUUGAUGUUUCAAGUAUCAAGACUAAGAAGACCUAGAAGACCUAGAAGAAAGCAUCAAAGUACAAUAUAUGAGUAAAACAGGAAACGUUCCAUGUGUAAGGACCGAAAAUAUUAGACAAUAUUCCUAUGGCGCUAAUGGAGUUCGACAACAAACUUACAGUUUACAAAGCCAUUUUCAGUACAAGUUUACUGUUAGACGAUCCAUAAAAUGACAAAGUCAAUUCAUCAAAGAAUAUAAAGAAGUUAAAAUCAGUUCAUAUUUCACUUGCUAUUUAUGAAGACAAUAAGGUUUGCUAUAUGGGAUGGAGAUUAUAAACGUACAUUCAUUGUAAAAGAACCACUGGAAAAACGUGAACAAUGGAAAGCAGUAAAUAGAGAGAUUUAUGAUCUUAAGACUAUAUCUUUUGUCAAAAUUCGUUUAAUUUUGUCCACACCGCGCAAUUUUUUUGUGUUAAUAAAUUAUACAAGAA